rnacentral:rRNA from 1 species
AGAGUUUGAUUAUGGCUCAGGAUGAACGCUAGCGAUAGGCCUAACACAUGCAAGUCGAGGGGCAGCACAUGAAGUAGCAAUACGGAUGGUGGCGACCGGCGCACGGGUGAGUAACGCGUAUGCAACCUGCCUACAACAGGGGGAUAACCCGUUGAAAGACGGACUAAUACCCCAUAACACAGGGAUCCCGCAUGGGAAUAUUUGUUAAAGAUUUAUCGGUUGUAGAUGGGCAUGCGUUCCAUUAGCUAGUUGGUGAGGUAACGGCUCACCAAGGCAACGAUGGAUAGGGGAACUGAGAGGUUUAUCCCCCACACUGGUACUGAGACACGGACCAGACUCCUACGGGAGGCAGCAGUGAGGAAUAUUGGUCAAUGGACGCAAGUCUGAACCAGCCACGUCGCGUGAAGGAAGACGGCCCUACGGGUUGUAAACUUCUUUUGUAAGGGAAUAAAGUGCAGUACGUGUACUGUUUUGCAUGUACCUUACGAAUAAGGAUCGGCUAACUCCGUGCCAGCAGCCGCGGUAAUACGGAGGAUCCGAGCGUUAUCCGGAUUUAUUGGGUUUAAAGGGUGCGCAGGCGGGAGAUUAAGUCGGCGGUGAAAUUUUGCAGCUCAACUGUAAAAGUGCCUUCGAAACUGGUUUUCUUGAGUGUGGAUGAAGUAGGCGGAAUUUGUGGUGUAGCGGUGAAAUGCAUAGAUAUCACGAGGAACUCCGAUUGCGCAGGCAGCUUACUAAACCAUAACUGACGCUCAGGCACGAAGGCGUGGGGAUCAAACAGGAUUAGAUACCCUGGUAGUC